rnacentral:lncRNA from 1 species
GGACUCCUCGAGGUGUGGGUUGCUGCCGGUCGACUCUCGCCUUUUGUUCUUCAUAAUUUCGGAUUAUCACAUUAUGAACUGCAGGGAGUUACUUACAGUACAUCCAUCUGAACAAUCUGAAACCUCCAUGUUGCAUGUCUUCACUGACAUAGGUGGGACGUUCUUGCAAAUUCAAGGAAUUGAAAAGGGUUCUACCUCAAGAUGAAGGCAGAGACGAUGACAGAUCUAGUUGCUUGGGUUAUUUUGUGGUCUUGAAGAAUGUGUAGGAGAGGAUGACUGGGUAGAAUGUUGCUACACCAGUGAUUGUCAACAUCGACACAUUAAUUUGUUGAGGGUCACUAAUUGAAGAUGGACGAUGCAAGAAAUGACCAAGUUUUCUUCUGGUGAAUGGACUCUUGCUGCACUUCACCAGAAUCAUCAGGUUGGAAAAGUUAAUCUGAACAUUUGUGGUGGCUGCUGCCCUGGACUGCCCUGCUUCCCACCAAGGCCCUGCUGCCCACCACUGCUGUGC